AGGACACGAGGAUGGUUUUUGCCUGUGUGGCAAUUUUCUUCUUCUUGCUCCUGGCGACAGCCUAUUCUUCUGCAGGACUUGAACAAUAAAGGUCUCAAACAAAGGCAGGUCUCACAGCUGGGGAAAGGACGCUUGAGGUCAGGGCUCCUUCCUUAACCCCCGGUGAGGUCAGUGUCAUGGGUUGUGCUGGUCCUGUUUUCCUGGGUGAGACUCUGCACAGCCUGUGGGAACUGAUUCACCAAGCCCAGGGGGGAAGGAAUUAUAGGAUCUCCUGCAGGAUGGGGUUCACAGUGCUCUCAGACCACUGGGAUUCAGCCCCUCGUGCUGCAGAGAGGCCGCCUCCACCAAGGCCCGUGCCAGCCCUGGGCUGAGGGACUCCCUCCACUGCUCUAAUCUGACUCCUCUGCUUAAAAGUAAUUUUUAAGCCACAAUUUUAGACUUCCUGACUGAGUGGGGAUUUUUUAAACAACAUUUUCUGAGCCAAAUCCAUCAAUUUAGGAAAACUCACACAUACAGAAAUGCACAAAUAUAUAUUCUGUGUGCAGUUCUGUACCACUCAAUAACACUUUUUUUUUUUCCCCUUUGGACUCCACAGCCCCUCUUUAACAUGGAAAACCCAUUUGUCUACCUCACUGGAUACUGAGUGGAUGAAUACAUUAACUGCUUUGCAGCACGUUGGCCUGGUUUAUUCCUGGUCAGGAACAUCAGCAUAUCUGCACCUCAGCCAGAUUCUGGGAAAUCAGUGAACCACGUAAACCACAACACCGUGGGGAGACUGAAGUGAGCUAAUGCUCAGCUCAUACAAACCACAUGGUUAUUGAAGCUCAGGAAAAGAAACUGAUGAUGGAGCCAGGUAAAACUGGCACGAUCCAGUGUAUUUGUGGAGUUAAACUCCUAUCUUCCAUGGCAAGGAAAGCACUGCAAUAAGAGACAGGUUAUCCAGUCUCAUAUGUGAGUUCAAGAAGAGGGCUGCAGUUUGGGGGGAAAAAGCUUCUAAGAGCCUGGGCUCAACUCCAAAGAAAUUGGUCUCAAUUUAGUGAAGAGGCUUGGAUGUGUGUGAAACCCAAAUGAAUGGGCAGCAGGACCAGGGCAAAUACAUUCGGAGCAUAUUGUGCAGAUGCUGCUGUAGCUGGAGAAAGGAAAGACAGUCUGAUUAACCUCAUUCCCUGAUAAAAAUCACACCAAACACUCUGAGAGAAGAGGAUAAACAUCCUGCCUCAAAGUCUCAUUUUACCCAUGUUGCCCUCCAAGUGCUUGAGAAGCCACAGAGGGACUGCACUUUGUCGAUAUCCCAAUGGAAGGCUGAGGUUACCUCCAACACACCAGAAAUUUUUUUUAACACCUUCAGCUUACAAAUCCUUUAUGGAAUUACAAACAAGAGAUUCUCUGGUUUCAAAGGGGUGGCAAAAAAGCAGACUCUCCUCCAGGACAUGGCUCAGUGGAUCGUAUAACCACCUUCCGAAGAGAGAGCCUGAAACACCAGCACCGUCUGCAGCAGCUUUUCACCUUGCCAAGAGCAAGGCUGGGGGGGCAAAGAUAGUUUAGGUAGUGCUGUGCUGGUGUGCCCACCUUGCUGCUGAUACCCAAAUGUGGCAGUUGAACACUGUAUCUCCCGUUACCCCAUUUUUAAUGCAGCU